GGACAGCUUAACUACAACAACAAAAAUAAUUCACCUAACCAAGGCUAAAACCAAACGGUCUACUUAACUGGAAGUAUAAAUACAAUGACUUAACUGCAACCGAUUAAAUGACCAUUCUAUUUUCUAUGUAAAGCGUCCACAAAAAUUUUAUUUUAAUCUUAUACUGAGAUUUUCAAUUCGCAACUAUGUUCGCUUACGUAUAUUUCAUUAAUGAUAAGCAAUUUUCUAAGGUGCCUGUAGGCUUUAUUAAGAAGUUUGAGAAAGAAACGUAUCUUGUGACAAACAUUUAUAAAGUUUUUGGAGUUUGCAUAUCCAUUCGCUCCAAAACGAAUACGAUGAAAAGUGCCACUCUUUAUUGAGAGAUCUCAGAGAGCUUCCACCUAAACAUUCGUGGAAAGUUUCUCAAGGAGAAGGGUUUUAUUUUGCCCACAUUUUACGAAUAGAAGGUAAAUAUAUCAAUAUUUUCUAUAAAAAAAAACAUAAUAAUCAAGAGAUUAUAUCAAAGUGUUGCAGUUAUAUUAUGUUUCGUAAUUUUUUUUUAGAUUCAUUCAUCACUAGCCUGAAGCUGAAAAGACCAGCCAUUCCUGUUACGCAGUGCGAGGAAGAAAUUAUCACCACAGAAAAUGAAGUUGCUAGUUUACAGAUUGAAAAAGAAAACAAAAAGCAAGAAAGAAGAUGCUGAGAUGAAGCAUAGAGAAAAUGCUGGCAAAAGAAAAAGAGCUAACGAUAUUUUUGAAGAGG